AAGGCUUCAGUACGACCCAGUCAGAACUAUAAGUCUCAAAGCCCCGACGAGUAGGGUGGCGUGCCGGUGCGCGUUGAAGGCCAAGACGUGAGUCAGGCUGGAGCCGCCGGUAGUGCAGAUCUUGGUGGUAGUAGCAAGUACUCUGGUGAACCAACCUGGAGCUGUGAGGUCUGGAUCAGGGUUCCAUGUCAACAGUGAUUGAACAUGGGUGAGUCGAUCCUAAGCCAACUGUGAAAGCAGUGACAUCCCGACAAAGGGGCAUUACAUGCGCUUGCUCUCUCUCUCGCACUGGCUGUUUGAGACGAUAAAAAACGUCUCUGUCUGGUACGGAAAAGAAAAAAAGCGCACGCCCGGGGAUCACCGGGGGGGAAUGGGUGGGCGCUUGGCUGGGUACCCUCCCCAGCGUUGUUGAAGGUUAAAAAGAAAAAAAAUGACAUGGCUCCUGGAUGAGCCCCCUGCGUCUGGUUCUAUGUCUGGCGAAAGGGAAUGGGGACUUUGUUCCUUGACCGGUCCCGGCACCCUCGAUUGGCUUUGCCAAUUAAUGGUCCAUGCAAAUGGAACCAGGCCACAGCCGCCGGCAGUCGCCCGAAGAAGAGUUUUCUUUUCUGCUUAACGCACGAGGUCAUCCCUGGAAACAGUUCGGCUGGCGAAAGGGUGCCCCGUUGCGGCAGAGCGCCACGACUGUCGUGCGCGUCUCGGUGUUCCUGCCGGUCCGGGAAGACGUGGUCGAGGGGAUUGCUCUUGUAUCAACGAAACGCCCGACAAGUUCGGGACGGACCGUACCCUAUAUCCGCAUCUGGUCUCCAAGGUUCGUAGCCUCUGCAGAGUCAGACACAUGUAGGUAAGGGAAGUCGGCAAACUCGAUCCGUAACUUCGGGAAAAGGAUUGGCUCUGAGGGCCGAGCUGGGCCGGGCCUUGCCUGCAAAGCAGUACCUAUAGUGACCGGAGUUUCAGGAGUGCGAGGGGCUCUAGUAGCUGCUUGCGCGUGUGUGCGUUCGCGCGUGCGCGCGUGUGGGCACGAACGAGUCCACCGCUCCGCUCCAACCACGAACGGCUGUGACGGCAAGGGCUCUGGGCGGGAGCGAUCAACCCGUUUGCCCCCAGCUCGUCUGGGUGGCGGCGGUGCUCCGUCUGACCCAUACGGCUCCAGCGGCUAGCGGCUAACUCAGAACUGUCAUGGACCAAGGGAAUCCGACUGUCUAAUUAAAACAAAGCGUCGUGACGGCCCCUGUUGGGUGUUGACGCGACGUGAUUUC
rnacentral:rRNA from 1 species